UACAGAGGUCCCAAGCGUUGUUCGGAUUCAUUGGGCGUAAAGGGCGCGUAGGCGGCCCGGUAAGUCAAAGGUGAAAUCCCUCGGCUCAACUGAGGAACUGCCUUUGAAACUGUCGGGCUUGAGGCCGGGAGGGGGUAGCGGAAUUCCUGGUGUAGCGGUGAAAUGCGCAGAUAUCAGGAGGAACACCGGUGGCGAAGGCGGGUCUCUGGGCCGAUAUUGACGCUGAGGAGCGAAAGCGUGGGGAGCGAACAGG
rnacentral:rRNA from 1 species